AUAUAUUUAUUUAUCAAACUCCCUUUUGGAGACCACUGGCAUUUCCCCGCUAUGUGGUUUUACUAUACAUUUGGGGAACUGUUCAAACAUACGCAUGCGCAGACGCUAAGCUUCAACUAUUUUGACACGCCUUCUCUCUUACUAGGGUGUUAACAUCACACCAGACGCACCAUUUUUUGUUAAAGUUUUUGUCAAAUAUUAUAAGCUUCAUAAAUGGCAUUAGGUCAGUUAUUUGCAUUCUUAAUACUCCAUGUGAUCUCCAACACAGUAUCCCGUGCUAAAAUGCAGCCCACAGCAAUACUUGUCCAGGAAGGAUGUUCUGUUUUGUUGAAAAUGCAAACACAAUUACCACAGUUUGAGGAUUUAGUAUGGAUCAAACAUCCAGAUGAUGUUGUAGUCUCGUAUAGUUCUAUAUCAAAAAAGGAUAAAAUAAACAAGGACAGAGUGGAUUUCAAUAACAUAAGCUUCUCUAUUACACUGAAAAACACAUUGUUAAAUGACAGUGGAGUAUACGAGGCGAAAACAAGUGGAAGAUACACUAGCAUUACAGGUCUAUACAAUGUAACUGUUGGUCCUGUGAGCCAUGCAUCAACCAUCAAGUCAAUUUUUCGCCUAUGGAUAUUUCUUGUUCCUUUGAACAUUUUUUAAUUAAUGUACGCUGUAAAACUAAACAAAUUUGGUUUACUAACUAAAAUGUAUUUCACCCAUGUGUGGUGUUCUAAUUUUUGUUACUCAGCCAGUGUUGGUGGGUCUUGUGGACCCGCUGCAGUUUUUUUUUAAUUCAGAUUACACAAUCAAACACGUUACAUUAAAAUAAUCAAAAGAUGUUUACUUCAUCCCAAUUACAAGUAAUCUAAAUAGCAUAUAUGUUUUUUAUUUGCCCUGUACCUUUGUUAGACAACAUUUAUAAAUUGAAGUUUAUUAAGAAUGCUCAGCGUUUUUUUUGUGGGAACAGCAGGGGAAGAAACACAAAACAGAAAAUUUAGACUUACACAUUUACAUUAAGUCAUAUAGCUGACGCUUUCAUCCAAAGCGACCUACAAAUGAGAAAUACAAUAUAAGCAAUUGGAACAACAUAAGGACAACAAAUAACAUAAGUGAAGUAGAACUGGAACCAAACAGCCUACCACAGUAUCAGUGUUGUAGUCGAGACCAGGGGCCUGUACCAUGAUGGUAGUUGAACAAACUCUGGGUUACAGGAUUAGUUUUGGGUUGUCAAAACCAAACCAACGUGAUCAAGCUUUGUUGGUACCAUGAAGCAGCUCCAGGAGUUUCUUUGUCAACUCAAGCUAUGAUCCAGAAGCUAAGAUUAGUUUGUGCGCGCGUGCACAUGAACGAGUGACGUCGGGAUCGCUAAACCAAUCGCGUUCAACAUGGAUACAGGGAGUUCCGUAGGUUGGAAAUAAUUAUGCGCAAAUAUUAGUAACACAAAAAUGUAUUUCCGCCACGGAGUAAUACUGUUUCUGCUGUCUACGCAAGAGAGAAUGGUUUCAGAAACACUGCUGAUUGAGUUAAUGCACAAUUUGAACGACCAUUUAGUACACACAUUUAUUGUAGUAUACUGUAGUAAGGUAAAUAUUACAGUAAUGUAAUAUGAUGUGUGUUAUGUGUGUAUGUGCCCCAUCAGUGGAUGAACAUAUCCUGCUAACAUUAGUUAUCAUUUAGUUUACCUUUAUUAAUGAGGAUGAAGCACAUGAUGCAGUGAAACGAUCUAUGUGCUGACAAAGUUAAAGAGAUUAAUGUACUGUACUAUUCAUUAUGGCACAAGUGUGAAUGUGAGGAUUUAUAUUUUAUGUUACUGGUGUCUCUGUUAUUGUAGGACAUUUCACAAUUCCUUCCCCAAAAACUGAAGUGUCUACCUCCAAAGGUUACAGAAGUAACACAUGUAUUUUGUGAACAAAAUACACUAGAGAAGCUUACUCUCAAUAAAGAAGGUUAAAUAAAAAAAUACCAGUAUGUGAACUUAGUUGUCAGUUGAAGUGUUCAUUUAAAAAUCCGACGGUCAUCUCAAUCCUGACUCUGGUUUGAUUGAGGGCCAUGUUGAAGUGGUUCUGCGGUCAGGAUAGCAAAAACCUCUGGCAUACAUAGGGACCCCCGUCUCCCACCAACAGGCUAUUAAACAGCCCUGUUAUACUUUACCUUCCUUAAAGCAGUGACAAAAACACAGAUGCAUAGGGAAUGUUGUAGGCAUUAUAAGUAUUAAAAACGUCUUAAACAUUUAAAAAUGUAGGCCUACUUUAUGAUACAUUAUUAAGGUUCAUUGUAAGUGUAACUUGAUAACAAAAAGAUUAAAAUAGCAGUGUUAAAAAAUAUGUGAUGUCACCUGUCAAUUUAUGGUUUUGUCUAUAUCUUACUGUAGCUGUUUAAUAGAAAGUUUCUUCAGUGGACAAAGACACAGUGAACACAGUAAAACUGGAAGAGUUCCUAGAUGUUCUGCACCACAAACAAGAAUGUAAAAAAUGCAAUGCAAAGAAAUACAUAUUGUAUGUAGUACAAUAAAAGAAUGGAAUAUUAAUACAUUUAAUUCCAUGUGUAAGGGAAAGCCAGCAAAUGCCAUCUCUAAAAUCAGAUUUUACCAACAUAGUUACCAUUACUUGAUUUUAUAUUUGUUAUAUAUAUUUACAUCUUUCAUUUUAGUAUUUUUAUUUGAUUAAACAUUAUUAAAAAUAACUAGCCAUUUUAACACGCACUGUGAGUUAGUUGCCUCACUUAUAUGUAAAUUUGCUCGCCGCUGAUUGGUUUAUUUUCGUUGUACGAUCUCUAAUCUAGAUCAUAGCCUGCUCCGGAGCAGGUUAGCCGUGCAGCGUAAAUUACCAUGGCGAUGAACACCGAUUAAAGCUGAGUUACUUUCAUGGUACCUAAAAUCCAGGGUUGGCGCAAAGUAAUCCUAAAUUUACCUGGCUAGCCACCUCAACCGGCUGCAUGGUACAGGCCCCAGCUCAUUCGAGUCCCGAGAGGGUUGAGUCCGAAUCAAGAACGAGACCAGAGUAGGUCCAGUCUGAGUCCAGUCCGAGUCCACAUAAGGUUGGGUCUCCGAUAAGACCCAAAGAAAUCUUCAAGAAUAUGUUAAUUGUUUGGUGGAAACAAUAAAACUGGCAGCAAGCUCAUAGAGUGCUUUAAAUAUACCAUGACAUGGACACUGUGUUUUAUAUACUUAGAUUGAUUUUGGUUAAAAAUAUUAUUAGUUGAGGGUAGUAGUGUAAAGGUAAAUUUAUUUCAAUUAUGACUCUCCCCUGAGCAAAGAUAUCUCCAACAUACAUUAUUUCUAUAUCUUAGAUGAUGUUGAAAAGACCUCCCCUUACUGGCCAAAAGUAAAGGUGUUUCUAUUUCUUUUAUUACAUCUUCUGAACGUCUGAUAGUGAUGUAAAACUGGUUAAAAUCUGGAGUUUAUCAAACUACUUUCAGUUUUCACAAGGAAAUAAGUUAAAUGAAACUCUGACACACACACUGAGACACACUCUGACAUCACUCAUCAUACAAACCUCAAGAAUGGUGACAAUCAUCAAAAUAAUUCAGAUAACUAGAUCAACUUAAAAAAAAAAAAACUUUUCAAUGUCUUUAAUAUUAUGGAUGGGACUCGAGUGGAAUCGGUAAUAAGUCCAAUUCUGAACAUGUUCGAGUACGAGUGAAAAUGCACAGGUAAAAACAAUGUUAUUUGUUUAUGGUAAUUUUCCUUGUUUGUUUGUUGUUCAGCUAACCAGAAGAUUUAUUUAAUUUGUGUAUUUUCGGUCAAUAUGGUAAACGUACAUUCAUUUUAAAUAACGCUACCAGAGACCCUAUGCCAUAUCGAACUCGUCCGGUGCCCAAGGCAUUUGUCAAAGUUUUAGACCUGAAACCACUGGGACCCAUGAGGACUGCUACCUCGACGCAAGUCAGUUUUACAUGGCAGAUGAGUGAACUGUGCAUCCAGCAUUUAAAAAGUAUCUGAAUUUCUUGCUUUGGUCUUUGUCAGAACUGACUUCAGGCAGCAGGUAGAGAUCAUGCAUCUGUGGAUUCGGCACUCAACUGCUUCUCCUGGGAUUCCCUGAUGUGAAACUUUUAUAUUUCAAGUCGAAUUUGAACCACUGGUUUUUUGGAAGCAAAUUAUUAACCAAAAUAAUAUGGACUGAAAAGUAUUAUGUCAAAUAUUAAAGGUUAUAUUUUAAAACAAGUUGAAUUUUUUAACUAAAUAUGAUAUGAUUUAAUUUUGAUAAUAGA